GACGAACGCUGGCGGCGUGCUUAACACAUGCAAGUCGAACGGAAAGGCCCUGCUUUUGUGGGGUGCUCGAGUGGCGAACGGGUGAGUAACACGUGAGUAACCUGCCCUUGACUUUGGGAUAACUUCAGGAAACUGGGGCUAAUACCGGAUAGGAGCUCCUGCUGCAUGGUGGGGGUUGGAAAGUUUCGGCGGUUGGGGAUGGACUCGCGGCUUAUCAGCUUGUUGGUGGGGUAGUGGCUUACCGAGGCUUUGACGGGUAGCCGGCCUGAGAGGGUGACCGGCCACCUUGGGCCUGAGAUACGGCCCAGACUCCUACGGGAGGCAGCAGUGGGGAAUAUUGCACAAUGGGCGGAAGCCUGAUGCAGCAACGCCGCGUGCGGGAUGACGGCCUUCGGGUUGUAAACCGCUUUCGCCUGUGACGAAGCGUGAGUGACGGUAAUGGGUAAAGAAGCACCGGCUAACUACGUG
rnacentral:rRNA from 1 species